rnacentral:snoRNA from 12 species
CCUCAGUGAUGAGUUGCCAUGCUAAUACUGAGCCACCAGGCAGGGCAGUGUUGCCCUGGUUUGGGUGUCGGUGAGUUUAACAAAACUUCUCAUGUGGAGACCUGAGAGGC